rnacentral:rRNA from 1 species
UCUGCCCCAUAGUCUGGGAUACCACUUGGAAACAGGUGCUAAUACCGGAUAAGAAAGCAGAUCGCAUGAUCAGCUUUUAAAAGGCGGCGUAAGCUGUCGCUAUGGGAUGGCCCCGCGGCGCAUUAGCUAGUUGGUAAGGUAAAGGCUUACCAAGGCGAUGAUGCAUAGCCGAGUUGAGAGACUGAUCGGCCACAUUGGGACUGAGACACGGCCCAA